rnacentral:rRNA from 1 species
GAUGAACGCUGGCGGCGUGCCUAAUACAUGCAAGUCGAGCGAACAGACGAGGAGCUUGCUCCUCUGACGUUAGCGGCGGACGGGUGAGUAACACGUGGAUAACCUACCUAUAAGACUGGGAUAACUUCGGGAAACCGGAGCUAAUACCGGAUAAUAUAUUGAACCGCAUGGUUCAAUAGUGAAAGACGGUUUUGCUGUCACUUAUAGAUGGAUCCGCGCCGCAUUAGCUAGUUGGUAAGGUAACGGCUUACCAAGGCAACGAUGCGUAGCCGGCCUGAGAGGGUGAUCGGCCACACUAGAACUGAGACACGGUCCAGACUCCUACGGGAGGCAGCAGUAGGGAAUCUUCCGCAAUGGGCGAAAGCUUGACGGAGCAACGCCGCGUGAGUGAUGAAGGUCUUCGGAUCGUAAAACUCUGUUAUUAGGGAAGAACAAAUGUGUAAGUAACUAUGCACGUCUUGACGGUACCUAAUCAGAAAGCCACGGCUAACUACGUG